AUUGAACGCUGGCGGAAUGCUUUACACAUGCAAGUCGAACGGCAGCACGGACUUCGGUCUGGUGGCGAGUGGCGAACGGGUGAAUAAUGUAUCGGAACGUGCCCAGUCGUGGGGGAUAACGUAGUGAAAAUUACGCUAAUACCGCAUACGAUCUAUGGAUGAAAGCGGGGGAUCGCAAGACCUCGCGCGAUUGGAGCGGCCGAUAUCAGAUUAGGUAGUUGGUGGGGUAAAGGCCCACCAAGCCAACGAUCUGUAGCUGGUCUGAGAGGACGACCAGCCAGACUGGAACUGGGACACGGUCCAGACUGCUACGGGAGGCAGCAGUGGGGAAUUUUGGACAAUGGGCGAAAGCCUGAUCCAGCCAUUCCGCGUGCAGGAUGAAGGCCCUCGGGUUGUAAACUGCUUUUGUACAGAGCGAAAAGGUUUCUACUAAUACUAGGAGCUCAUGACGGUACUGUAAGAAUAAGCACCGGCUAACUACGUGCCAGCAGCCGCCGUAA
rnacentral:rRNA from 1 species